CGUCCUGUGUGUUGUGCCCGAAAGAGAACACAUUUUCAGUUUUGCUUGCCUCGUGGCAGCGCAUUCCUUUCUUCACUUCAGCCAUGGCUGCCAAUUCUGCUGUGCAGUUGCUGACAGUAAUCUGUCUCGAGCUAACCAAGGAGGAUAAGGAGACGUUCAAAAUCAAAUCUGGAAAGCGUCUUGUGGUUCUCUGAAGACGUUUCAUCAGUGCGCGGGAUGAAAGCAGAAAUUGCAGAACGAGAAAAGUUCAGCACAGUUCAAAUCUGACGAGUCAGAUACACUGACACUCUCUUUCGUUCGACGCCACAAGGAUACCCUGUUUGACUGGACAAGAGCUGCCUGUACCACCGUGUCAAAAGGCUGUCCAACUACAUGGCAGGACGAUGAUUGAGGUGUGCUGAUCUUCAGAAGCUUGCGGAACUGAGUGCUGCUGAACAUUUGCAUGGCCAUGAGCAAUGGUGAAGCUUGCUAUUGCACUCUCAGCAUGUGCUAGUAUUAUGCUGACCACUGCACUAUGUUACUCUCUUACACUACUACGUGUAUGUAAACGUGCGUGUACCCGUCCCCGUAUGCAUUCGUUUCGUAUAAUUAUUUGUUAUCCCUCUUGACUUUACAUGUAAAUGGGUGGA